UACGAAGGGCCCGAGCGUUGAUCGGAAUCAUUGGGCUUAAAGGGUGCGCAGGCGGGCUUGUUAGUGUCUUGUGAAAUCCCACGGCUCAACCGUGGAACUGCAGGGCAUACUGCAAGUCUUGAGGCCAGUAGGGGCUAUCGGAACUCUAGGUGUAGCGGUGAAAUGCGUAGAUAUCUAGAGGAACGCCAAUGGCGAAGGCAGAUAGCUGGGCUGGUUCUGACGCUCAUGCACGAAAGCGUGGGUAGCGAAGAGG
rnacentral:misc_RNA from 1 species